rnacentral:rRNA from 1 species
AGCCAGACUCCUACGGGAGGCAGCAGUGAGGAAUAUUGGUCAAUGGUCGGGAGACUGAACCAGCCAAGCCGCGUGAGGGAGGAAGGUACAGAGUAUCGUAAACCUCUUUUGUCAGGGAACAAAGACUGGGACGCGUCCCCGGAUGAGUGUACCUGAAGAAAAAGCAUCGGCUAACUCCGUGCCAGCAGCCGCGGUAAUACGUAGGGGGCAAGCGUUAUCCGGAUUUACUGGGUGUAAAGGGAGCGUAGACGGCAGCGCAAGUCUGAAGUGAAAUCCAUGGCUUAACCAUGGAACUGCUUUGGAAACUGUGCAGCUGGAGUGCAGGAGAGGUAAGCGGAAUUCCUAGUGUAGCGGUGAAAUGCGUAGAUAUAUGGAAGAACACCAGUGGCGAAGGCGGCUCUCUGGUCUGCAACUGACGCUGAGGCUCGAAAGCAUGGGUAGCGAACAGGAUUAGAUACCCGAGUA